UACACUCCUGCGGGAGGCAGCAGUGGGGAAUAUUGCACAAUGGGCGCAAGCCUGAUGCAGCCAUGCCGCGUGUAUGAAGAAGGCCUUCGGGUUGUAAAGUACUUUCAGCGGGGAGGAAGGCAAUACGGUUAAUAACCGUGUUGAUUGACGUUACCCGCAGAAGAAGCACCGGCUAACUCCGUGCCAGCAGCCGCGGUAAUACGGAGGGUGCAAGCGUUAAUCGGAAUUACUGGGCGUAAAGCGCACGCAGGCGGUCUGUCAAGUCGGAUGUGAAAUCCCCGGGCUCAACCUGGGAACUGCAUUCGAAACUGGCAGGCUUGAGUCUUGUAGAGGGGGGUAGAAUUCCAGGUGUAGCGGUGAAAUGCGUAGAGAUCUGGAGGAAUACCGGUGGCGAAGGCGGCCCCCUGGACAAAGACUGACGCUCAGGUGCGAAAGCGUGGGGAGCAAACAGGAUUAGAAACCCCAGUAGUCCCAUGA
rnacentral:rRNA from 1 species